rnacentral:rRNA from 1 species
AUUGAACGCUGGCGGCAGGCCUAACACAUGCAAGUCGAACGAGUGGCGGACGGGUGAGUAAUGUCUGGGAAACUGCCCGAUGGAGGGGGAUAACUACUGGAAACGGUAGCUAAUACCGCAUACCAUCGGAUGUGCCCAGAUGGGAUUAGCUAGUAGGUGGGGUAACGGCUCACCUGGGCGACGAUCCCUAGCUGGUCUGAGAGGAUGACCAGCCACACUGGAACUGAGAAACGGUCCAGACUCCUACGGGAGGCAGAGGUGGGGAAUAUUGCAAAAUGGGCGCAAGCCUGAUGCAGCCAUGCCGCGUGUAUGAAGAAGGCCUUCGGGUUGUAAAGUACUUUCAGCGAGGAGGCGGUACUCGCAGAAGAAGCACCGGCUAACUCCGUGCCAGCAGCCGCGGUAAUAC